AUUGAACGCUGGCGGCAUGCUUUACACAUGCAAGUCGAACGGCAGCGCGGGCUUCGGCCUGGCGGCGAGUGGCGAACGGGUGAGUAAUAUAUCGGAACGUACCCUAGAGUGGGGGAUAACCAGUCGAAAGAUUGGCUAAUACCGCAUACGAUCUCAGGAUGAAAGUGGGGGACCGCAAGGCCUCAUGCUCCUGGGGCGGCCUAUAGCUGAUUAGCUAGUUGGUGGGGUAAAGGCCCACCAAGCCGACGAUCAGUAGCUGGUCUGAGAGGACGAUCAGCCACACUGGGACUGAGACACGGCCCAGACUCCUACGGGAGGCAGCAGUGGGGAAUUUUGGACAAUGGGGGCAACCCUGAUCCAGCAAUGCCGCGUGAGUGAAGAAGGCCUUCGGGUUGUAAAGCUCUUUUGUCAGGGAAGAAAAGGCCUGGGCUAAUAUCCUGGGUUCAUGACGGUACCUGAAGAAUAAGCACCGGCUAACUACGUGCCAGCAGCCGCAGUAACAC
rnacentral:rRNA from 1 species